ACUCAAAUGAAUUGACGGGGACCCGCACAAGCGGUGGAGUGUGUGGUUUAAUUCGACACUAAGCGAAGAACCUUACCAAGGCUUGACAUCCUGGGAAAGCUCCUGAAAGGGAGCCGUGCCGCAAGGAACCCAGUGACAGGUGUUGCAUGGCUGUCGUCAGCUCGUGUCGUGAGAUGUCCCGUUCAGUCGGUCAACGAGCGCAACCCUUAUUCUGUGUUACAAGUGUCACAGAAAACUGCCUCCGUUAAGGGGGAGGAAGGUGGGGAUGACGUCAAGUCAGCAUGGCCCUUACGCCUUGGGCUACACACGCACUACAAUGGGAAGUAACAAUGGGUCGCAAAGCCGCGAGGCGAAGCUAAUCCUAGCAAACCUUCCCCCAGUUCGGAUUGGAGGCUGCAACUCGCCUCCAUGAAGUCGGAAUCGCUAGUAACGGCCGGUCAGCCAUACGGCCGUGAAUACGUUCUCGGGUCUUGCACACACCGCCCGU
rnacentral:rRNA from 1 species